rnacentral:rRNA from 1 species
UACAGAGGGUGCAAGCGUUAAUCGGAAUGACUGGGCGUAAAGGGCGUGUAGGUGGCACUAUAAGUUAGAUGUGAAAUCCCUGGGCUUAACCUAGGAAGGUCAUCUAAUACUGUAGAGCUAGAGUAUAGGAGAGGGAAGUGGAAUUUCCGGUGUAGCGGUGAAAUGCGUAGAUAUCGGAAGGAACACCAGUGGCGAAGGCGGCUUCCUGGCCUAAUACUGACACUGAGGCGCGAAAGCGUGGGUAGCGAACGGG